AAUCUUAUAUUCAAAAUAAUGAUUUUAGACUGCAAUUCUAAAGGUGUAAAAUAUUACUAAGGUUU
rnacentral:tRNA from 1 species